ACAAAAGGAAUGCAGACUAAGAACGCUACGUCCUGCGUCUGCAUGACCCACAUCCUAUGGG
rnacentral:sRNA from 1 species